AUGGAGACAAUGCAGAGUGCUGUUGACUGGGAGUUCUUCACAGUAGGAGAGGAGAGUUGCAUGGUCAUUGCUAACUCCUUUGACGGAGAGUCUCACUCUCUGAACAGCAUUACCUACAGGUAUUCACAUGAAUACACUAGAAUUGCUCAUGGUGCUAUAAUUGAAUGGAUGAUAUAUUGUGAAUUUACAAACAUUAUGGUGAUAUGUUAUAUACUCAUCAUUAUCACGAUUUGUGUUUUGAUGAACUUGAACGUGAUAUGGAUGUGUGCAGGUGGCAGGGAUACGAGGGCUUUGUUCCCAUUCAUCGGCUUCCCACCAUCGGAUGCAGCGACUGGGAAUUCUUUACUUCCAGGGGGGGUCCUAUCUGAUCUACUCCAGCGCCACAACACCUCUCUCCAAAAUCUUCCGUCUGAAAACACACUUACACGUGACACAAUAUACUCACAUUAGUUGACUAUCAUUUUGUGAAAAUAAUUUAUUGAUGUAAUAGAAAUGUGUAAAAAAUACAUUUUUUCAUUUGUGUCUUACUGCAAAUUCUACUGCUUAUGUAAGAAUAUUGUUUCAGAAUGAUUUUAUAGGGUCCCAUACUAGGGGAGCAGUGAAUGGAAACUGUAGAGUUCCACAGCUUUUGCCCAAUCUGCAUUUUCAGUAAAAGCUGUUCACCACUUGAACCAACUUCCAGAAACCUUAAAGAGAUACUUCAGGAUUUUGGCCAUUUUUACAUUUAUUUAAUCUUUAUUUAACUAGCCCUUUAUCUACUUCCCCAGAGUCAGAUGAACUCAAGGUGACCAUUUCUAUGUCUCUGCGUGCAGUUGAAGGAAGUUGCCAACUAGCGUUAGCGCAAUGACUGGUAGUCUAUAGUAACUGCUAGCAUGCUAGUAGAUACCAUAGACUUCCAGUCAUUGUGCUAACGCUAGUUAGCAUUGGGUCGUGAAACUACUUCUAACUUCUAACUACUGGAUGCAGAGUGAAAGAGAGUGAUCUGGCUCAAGGUAUUUUACUGGUUUGUAACUCACUGACACCGUCCCCGGUUAGAGGGGAAUAAAGCUGCCCAAGAGUUAACACACAGGAACUUUAAACACACUGAGGAAGAUGAACAUGGGGAUGAAAAGUGGGAAGGGUAGUGGAAUGGCAGUAGUUCUGUUGAAGGAGAUGAAAGGCAAUGAAUAUACUGUACAUAAGAUAACACAAGAGCAUAAUAACAGUAAUAAAGGUCUGUAUAAAUAGCAUAUAAUCCCUGAACAUGUUUACAGGUUACAAGCUAUACAUAACGCAACAACAACAACAACUAGCUAUGAAGAACAAUACCAACACCAUCCCACAAGACCAGAGAUAUGAGUGAGUCCAGUUGUUGAUCGGCAGAGACAGAUGUUGCUCUCUGCCGCUGCUUGAGGGAGACUGCAAGUAUUGUGUGACCUGCAGUGUCAAGAGGAUGGGUAGAUGUCCUGCCCCCUAGUAACCUCCCUAGCAACCUAUCAAGGCACAGGUCAGAGUUUUAGAGGCAGGUUUAUGGUUCCCCCUACACUCUCAGUUUCUGGUUGUGGUGGAUGGGGAGGGGAGGGGAGUUUGCUAAGGGUUGUGAGGUGCUAAUAGUCACCGACAGGGAAUUCUUAACACAUGGUAUCCAUGAGUUCAUCUGACCCUUGGGAAGUAGAUAAAGGGCUUCAUUGCCAAAAUCCCAAAGUAUCCCUUUAAAAUGUGUGGCUUGUGUCAGUGCUUUUACACAAAAACUGAACAGGUGGUUAAAAGACCAGCAGGUUUGUAGCCACGUAUGAACCUUCUUUAAGAAUGCCAGCAGAAAAUACAUCACAUUUCAGUUCAGAUAUAUCUGUUGUGUGUGUUUGAGACAUCCACUGGAUGACAGACAAGCCAUGUUGUAAAAACUACAAGAGGCUUGAUGCACUUGCAAAAUCGAAGAGAAGACUUGGUGGACAUGUAGUUUAUUCAGCCGAAGUGCCAACCUGUGAUUUUAAAACGACACUACAACUACCACAAUGCCCCACUCUUCCCUUUGGACAUUAUGGCUGCGCACUGUUCAUCAAUGGUGUUGUUAUUUACGUUUUUUCGUUUUUUCUCUUAUUUAAAACAGAGGAAUGUAGACAGAGUUUGGCUUCGAGUAUAACUUUACAAAAAAGCAUCAGGAUAUUUCUGGAGUUAAAGCUCUAUUUGCGUCAGGAACGCUGAAACACGUUUUGCUUGAUAGCUAACGAGUCAGAUAGCCAGGUAGGACAGCUGUCUGUCGCCGGUCAGAAUUUAGCUGUUGUAAACUCAGUUCACACUAAAUUAACUCGUGUUGUAAAGGCAAUGAUUGUAUAGCUUGUUUGUUAACCACUACAAUAAUAGCUAUACCUCGAGCACAAUACGGGAACACACAAUUUUUCUAUUCAUAGCUAUGUUUACCCCUGUAAAGUCGUCUUAUUUCAGAGUCAGUCCCACUACUAUCAACAGAGAGCUAGGCAAGACCAAGAUGAGAUAGCAAGAGGAGUUAUUAGUUAGCUAGCUACGCGAUCGUGAACACAAUUAGACAUUCAAUUCAGUCCCCUGAAGGUGCGUUUCACAGGACAGAGAAAGAGAA
rnacentral:lncRNA from 8 species